CCAAGGACAGGCUGGAGCCACUUAUUUGUUUAGCCCUGGAGUGGAGUCACUAAGGCGUACAGGAGCUACGGGCUGGUGAACACCAACCUCUCCACCUCAUGCGGGGGAGUCACUCUCACGGGGAAACAAUGCAAACCGAACUCAAAAGCAUCCCAGCAGUUUGUUUGUUAUACUGAAAAGAAACUACUCUGCAGCUAAAACUCGGUUCUGUUGGUUCUUUCAAGGAUUUGCAGCAGAACUGUGGAUUCAGCAGAAUAUCCAACAAUACAGAAGCGAGCCCAUUCUGCUGACCUUUAAGAGACGCUCCGUCUUCCUGUGACAGCGGCAGGACAAAAAACGACAAGCUAAUUAAACUGGGCUGCAGGGGAAAAAAACAAAUGAAAGCACAUAAAAAGGAAGUUAAAACUCCGUUUUGAGGAUGUUAUCGGCGGUCUACGCAGACUUCCUGCCGGCCGAACAGAUAACCCACCCCCCAAACUCUGGUGCUGCUGGUUCAUUUCUGCUGGUAAUGAGUCACGUCGUGUUGGAUUACCGCCAGGGAGAGGCGAACGUGCGGUGGGAAUGGUGGCGGCGAGGUUUCAUGAAUGCGAAAAGACUCGCAGUCCCCUCCGGGAACCAUAAUGACCAAAAUGCACGGAAGACAUUGUUUCGUAGCAAGUCGUCACGCAAGCAUGUAACCCAACAGUGCAAUCAUGAUGUUUGUACCUGCAGGUAAACAAAUAAAGUCUUCAUGAACUCCAA